AAGUCGUAACAAGGUCUCCGUUGGUGAACCAGCGGAGGGAUCAUUACUGAGUACUACACUCUCUACCCUUUGUGAACUAUUAUACCUGUUGCUUCGGCGGCGCCCGCAAGGGUGCCCGCCGGUCUCAUCAGAAUCUCUGUUUUCGAACCCGACGAUACUUCUGAGUGUUCUUAGCGAACUGUCAAAACUUUUAACAACGGAUCUCUUGGCUCCAGCAUCGAUGAAGAACGCAGCGAAACGCGAUAUGUAAUGUGAAUUGCAGAAUUCAGUGAAUCAUCAAAUCUUUGAACGCACAUGGCGCCUUCCAGUAUCCUGGGAGGCAUGCCUGUCCGAGCGUCGUUUCAACCCUCGAGCCCCUGUGGCCCGGCGUUGGGGAUCUGCCACGGCAGGCCCCUAAAACCAGUGGCGGACCCGAAGGGCCCUCUCCUUUGCGCAGUAGCAUUCGCCUCGCAUCGGGAGUCCUCGGCGUCCUGCCUCUAAACCCCCCACAAGCCCGCUUCGGCGGCACCAAGGUUGACCUCGGAUCAGGUAGGAAUACCCGCUGAACUUAA
rnacentral:rRNA from 1 species